AUGAGGUUGUAUUUAGCCUGAGUCUUGGGCUUCGUGGAAAAAGAAGCUCUGUGAAGUUUGUCCAGGAGCCUGCGUUUCAUUGGGAGCUAGAAGUCAUCCUGAAUAGUGAGUACACUGGGGCCAAGGGACAGCUUCCUGUUCUAAAGGAAGGGUGCAGAGGCCCCCGCAAUAGAGCUGGAGGGCCUAAAGAGCUCUUGGAAAAUGUUUCCUCAAGCCAAAAGGCCUUGGCUUUGGACUCAGACAGCCACUUUCCUGCUUGGCAAAAAAAGGAGAACCCCCAGAAAUCAGGCCUGUGGUUAUCUGGAAAAGCAUUGCUAACUUUUUCCAUCCAUCAGGCAGUAUGCGCUUGGCUCAGGAAGAAACCACAGAAGCUCACUUAUUUUCCCACACUGGAAACCAAACUGAAUCCUGACUUGGAAGCUUUCAUCAAGGUUUUAUCUGCAAAACAUGUAUUCUUCUGUUGAAGUGAGAGAAGGUCGAUCACUUGAACAUCAACUUGCAAGUGAAGUAAGGUUGAAAUGAAAAUCCAAGUUAACCAAGAAGGAUUUAUAACCACGGUUUGUGGGUGUGUUGACUGGAAUCGGGGGUGAGUGGACAGGUGAGACAUGCAGUUAAAAGAAUUAGGGUACAAAAUGAUUGGGCUUCCCUGAUGGCUGAGAUGGUAAAGAAUCCAUCUACAAUGUGGGAGAUUUGAGUUCAAUCCCUGGAUCGGGAAGAUCCCCUGGAGAAGAGAAUGGCUACGCACUCCAAUAUUCUUGCCUGGAGAUUUUGAUGGACAGAGGAGCCUGGUGAGCUACAGUCCAUGGGGUUGCAGAGAGUCAGACAUGACUGAGUGGCUAACACACACACACACACAAAAUGAUUGCUACAGUAAGUUUAGUUAAGGUGUAUCACCACACAUAGUUGCAAAAUUUUUGCGUCAUGAGGUCUUUUUUUAAAAAAAAUUUAUUGGAAUAUUUUUGCUUUACAAUGUU
rnacentral:lncRNA from 1 species